rnacentral:rRNA from 1 species
UCGGGAAUAUUGCGCAAUGGAGGAAACUCUGACGCAGUGACGCCGCGUGCAGGAAGAAGGUUUUCGGAUUGUAAACUGCUUUAGACAGGGAAGAUACAAGACAGUACCUGUAGAAUAAGCUCCGGCUAACUACGUGCCAGCAGCCGCGGUAAUACGUAGGGAGCAAGCGUUAUCCGGAUUUAUUGGGUGUAAAGGGUGCGUAGACGGGAAGUCAAGUUAGUUGUGAAAUCCCUCGGCUCAACUGAGGAACUGCAACUAAAACUAACUUUCUUGAGUGCUGGAGAGGAAAGUGGAAUUCCUAGUGUAGCGGUGAAAUGCGUAGAUAUUAGGAGGAACACCAGUGGCGAAGGCGACUUUCUGGACAGUAACUGACGUUGAGGCACGAAAGUGUGGGGAGCAAACA